UUUCUGCAGUUGUUUGGAGGCCAAAAUAGAUGCAUAUUAUACUACAAAACUAAAAGUUCAAGCCAAUUAUUUAUGUACACACUUUCUUAAAGAGUGUAAGGACAUAUGGACUCUUUCUUUUAGCUACACAGUUGUCAAUAUUUCAACUUUAAAUGAGGAACUGUAUACCAGUGAGAGAAUACCCGUACCUCAUGAUCAGGAAAUUGUAACGGAAAUUAAGGAGUUACACAUAACAGGAAAAUAUAGAAUAAAAAUUAAACCAUCUUGUACUAUUUGUGGCAGUGGUUGCAAAGUCAUACAUUUAUCCAGUAAGAAUAGACUCAGUAAAAA